rnacentral:rRNA from 1 species
CCUACGGGAGGCAGCAGUGGGGAAUAUUGCGCAAUGGGCGAAAGCCUGACGCAGCGACGCCGCGUGAGGGAUGAAGGUCUUCGGAUUGUAAACCUCUGUCAGCAGGGAAGAACGGUCACUGUGCUAAUCAGCAGUGAAUUGACGGUACCUGCAAAGGAAGCACCGGCUAACUCCGUGCCAGCAGCCGCGGUAAUACGGAGGGUGCGAGCGUUAAUCGGAAUUACUGGGCGUAAAGCGCUCGUAGGCGGUAUGUCAAGUCAAGGGUGAAAUCCCCGCGCUCAACGUGGGAACUGCCUUUGAAACUGGCAGACUGGAGUGUGUGAGAGGAUAGUGGAAUUCCAGGUGUAGGAGUGAAAUCCGUAGAUAUCUGGAGGAACAUCAGUGGCGAAGGCGACUAUCUGGCACAUAACUGACGCUGAGGAGCGAAAGCGUGGGUAGCAAACAGGAUUAGAUACCCGGGUAGUC